UUUCCACUACCUUAAUUCUCAACCUUCUCAUUUCUUGCUUGCAAAAAGUUUCUGGUUGAUUUCCAAAUUGUGCGUCUGGAAAUUUUCUGUGGGGGUCCUCUGGAAUAUCAAGGUGAUGAUAGAUAACAAGAGUUUAAAAAGUAGAGUCAGGCAAUCAGGGUAGAGGUAAUAGUUUGAGAUUUUAUUUUAGGUGAAGCAGUACUUGUGAAAAACAAUUAUUUUUUCAGACUGGGAGCCAACUCUGGUUUUCAUACAUGCUAGGUAAAUGGUCUGUGUAAGUUAAUUAUUGACUACAGGAUUUGUGCUAAGAUAGAAAUGAAAACAAUAGGCACAAAGGGCUAUGGGAAAAUGUGGCAGGGAAGAGUUCAUUCCACUUGGGAGAGUCGCACAAUGUUCCACUUAGAAGGUGACAUUUCAUCUGGGUCUUUGAAGGAAACACCAUUAACUCCAUUCUGAUGAAGCGGAUUGAUGCAGCUGGGCUGAAAGCUGAGUUAUCGGCAGACACAACAUCCUUGUUUUUGUAUGUGGUGCUGAGGAUCGAACCCGGGCCGCACGCAUGCCAGGCGAGCGCGCUACCGCUUGAGCCACAUCCCCGGCCGACUGGUUUUAAUUCCUCCCAAACCUGAGAUGACUGUGUCCUGAAAUGUGACCAUGUGGGAGAGCUGUGAAGUGUGUUUAUGUCACCCAGUGUUCUAGGACUAGCAGCUACUCGGAAGUGGCUUCAAGGGAAUAAGGAAGAAUGAACUGCCACAGCCCCCUGAAGAGACAAAAGUCUGGAGCACGUAUGUCUGAGAAAACCCACCACCAACAAAAGGAAUGAAGAGGAGAUAAGCAGAAGAGCAUUCCAGACCAGAAAGGCUGGGUCAAAAGGCAGACAGCCAGGAAAGGAGGGAGGAAGAAAAAGGAAUAUAUAUACCAGCAAAGCUGGACUCUGCUGUAGCCAAGAAGAAGCAAAGAAUCAAAAAUCUUGGGCCAAGAAAAACAGAAGAAAGUGUAAUCCCAAUGACUCAGGAGGCUGAGGUGGGAGGUUGGCAAGUUUGAGGUUAACCUAGUCAACCUAGUGAGAUUCUGGGCGUGUAGCUCGGUGGUAGAGCACCCUUGGGCUCUGUGUUGGUGGGCUGUGUUGUCUCUUGGGCUGCUGUGCUUACAAAUGAAGCCCAUCAGUGGCUCCCAGCAGUCCCAGGACACACCUAAGGACUUUCCAGCUCCUCCACCAGCCUCUUUAAAAUCCAGUCAUCCCCCCUGUGACUCAGCACAAACUACUGGGUGUCCCAAGCACAUACUACUGCCCUACGUUUGGAUGAAAAAAAAUUUACAUAAGGGCUUAAAGAAGCCAGUCUGUGGCUAACCUUUCCAUUGAAAAUAAAAUAUCUGAUCCACAAUAUUGACUUUUAACUCACUGCCAUCUAACAGACUAAACAUGGGAAAGUUAGGAAAGUUCUAUUUUCUUUUGUAAAUUACUCAAAAUACCUAAGUAUUAAAAUGUCCCCGCAAAAGUGUUGCAAA